GACUUCAUCGCAAUUCUUCAGUAUAUAUAUAUGUGCUUGUUCCAAUUCAUUUGCUUCAACGUCACAUUGUUCUUUAGCUCCCAGAGUACUUCCAGGUUGAUAGAACAUAGAUAAACCUCCAUUAGAUUUUUUCAAACCCCCGACAUAAUUUCAUUCAAGUCGAUUGAAUUUUGCGUCAAUCGUAUGAAGAUACCGUGAACAUAAGGUCAUACAUUCAUUUGUAAUGUAGCCCUCUGCAAUAGAGCGUUUCGUUCAGGUCGAUUGAAUUUUGUUUUCAAUCGUAUGCAGAUACCGUGAAAAUAAGGUCAUACAUUCAUUUGUAAUGUAGCCCUCUGAAACACAUCCUUCUAGACAUGCCCUAUUACCAAUCAAAGAUUUCAAAAAAUAUAACCAUCAUUCCACAGGAUACAUCCACUGAUAAUGAAUAGGUCCAGCAAUCUCAGCUUCAGUAGCUAAAUGAAUAGGCAAGUGCACCAUGACAUCGAAAAAUGAAGGAGGGAAGACCUUUUCUAACUUGCAAAGCAUUACGGGAAUUUGCGCUUCAAUUUGUUUCAAGUCAU
rnacentral:lncRNA from 1 species